UCGGCGGUGCUUGAGAGGCACACUUGGAGCGUUAAUUGUUAAUCUCACCACGAAGAAAGAAAGAAAAUUCGCAUGUGGUGGCGGAGCCGGAUAUGGUCGUCCUCGAUAGGCGUCUGACUGGAGGCGGGAAGAGGUGGCUGCGGGCCAUCGGAAAUCGCUGGAAUCGCGACCCUUAUCGCCUUAUUAGAGAGGGGCAACUUGCAUGGCGUCCUAAGCCGGACGCGGCGUGGCGCUGCGGCAGGUUUAUCGGCCGCCUGUAUCAGCGUACUCACGCUCCCUUUCAUGGUCUUUAAACCGGCGCACUUAGCAUGGCCCGUCAUUAUUUAACGUUGAUGUUGGUGUUCGAUUUGAAAGAAGUCGAUCGGAAGUCUGCUAAAGUGAAGACAAGCAAUCUGUGCGUAUCCUCUGUGAGGAUGAUUUUUAUUCAGACAUUUUUAUUCGGCCAGCGUAGGAAUAAAAUGGAACGGAAAGACAAACAGCAGCGGUCGCGUGUGAAAUUGUAUUUUCUAUCCAACUGCGUUUUUCUAUUAAACAGUUUCUGAGCAAAAUAUGGCAGAUGGAGAGUAACUGUGAUUUAUAGUUUUUUUAAUAACUGUAGCAUGAAGAUUUGAAAAUUGCAGCAGGAUUAAAAACUGGUGGAAUUGUAUUUUCUAUUCAACUGUGUUUUUCUAUUACACAAUUUCUGAGAAAAAUAUGGCAGAUGGUGAGUAACUGUGAUUUAUAGUUUUUUUAAUAACUGCAGCAUGAAGAUUUGAAAAUUGCAGCAGGAUUAAAAACUGGUGGAAUUGUAUUUUCUAUUCAACUGUGUUUUUCUAUUACAUAAUUUCUGAGAAAAAUAUGGCAAUUCAAUUAGUAACCUUGAUUUCUGUUUUCUUUAAUAACUGGAGCAUGAGGAUUUGAAAAUUGCAACAGGGUUAAGAAAGGGCAGCAAGUAUAAUAAAUAUAAAUAUCAAAGUAACCAGUCCUACAAUUCGUUUCAAUCUCUAAGAACCCAAAGAACAUAGGUGAUUGUGCUAAUAACUCGUUCGAUAGUUUCGUUCGAAUAAACAGUUUCUGCAAGACAUAAAUAAAAAGGCAUGAGUAUUAUAUUCCUCAACUAUGGUGAGAUAGCCGAGUGAUAAUAAAUGGGUUUGAAAGUAGCUGCCUAAUUACUUCCUCGGACACCGCACGAACUCGCGAUGCAACCGUUGAUAUCGCUACGUACUUUUUCCUUUUUCCCGAGCCCCGCGUUGGCUACCGGUUUUACAGCGACCGUUGAAUUUAACUGUCUAUUAAUUAAUGCGGGCCGAUUAAUUUCCGUCACGGCAUAAAAACGCAGUUCCAUGGAAAAUUAUGAUGGCGCAAGGUCUCGCCUCCGCGCCAUUUCCCUACGAUUCGUAUGUCAUCGAACCAUCGUUCUACAGAUCCAUGUGAAAAAUACCGACAUGUUGCGGGUAUUUCGUUUCGGGAAACUAGAAAAGGGGAUAAGUUGAAUUUGCAUACUGUGCAGUCCUCUUUCUAUCUUUUCUUUUCUUCCUUCACCGCUUUCUUUUUCUUCUUUCCUUUCUUUGCUUGUCUUUCUUCCCUUUCUUCUUUUCGCUUGCUUGUAUUUCUUCCCUCUCCUCCUUUUUUUCUUAUCUUUGUCUUUCUUCUCUUUCUCCUACUCUUGUUCCUUUUCUUUCGCAUGCUCUUUGCCUUCUUUUUCCUCUUUUAUUUCUCUUGUGUCUCUCGCUUCUCUUUUUUCUUUCUUCCCCUGCUUACAUCAUUUUCUUCCUCCUCUCUUUUUCUUUUUCCCAUUUCUUUCGUUCCUCCUCUUCCUUUUAUUCUUUUCCUCUCCGUCUUGAUAUUUUUGUUCUACCACUUUUCCACCCACCCACAUAUAUUCUUCCAAGUACGUAGAGAAAUUUUUCAUAUUUGUAAAAGUAUAUGAAGUGUAAGUGAGAUAGAGAGACAGGUUUGCCUGCUGAUUCAUUGAUACCAAUAUAUAUUUCCAGGGUAAAAUAAAAUUGUUUACAAGCUGAAGAAUAAGCCUCCAACGACGUGUUCGCACACGAACGUUGUCAUCGUUUACGCUGUACAUAAAUACCCAUCAAAUAUUUUGCCACAUCCUGUACAAGUAGAGAGUUAGAAGGAAUUAAGUUAAAGCACGUAAUAAUUGCAUUAAAUGAAAUUCAACAUUGGUAAGUUUCAUUCAAGUAAACAAGAGUUAGCGAUACUGUCAGAGAAUCAUCUAGAAUAGCUUCUUCGAGUACAUCAACCGUGACUGACCAUUAAAAUACCGGCCUUGAUAACUGGUAGCAUGGUCACCCAGUUUUACGUCAUUCGGCGAUUUUUCGCGGUACUUCGUUUCUUUCCACAGUCUGGUAUCACUCGCCGCGAGCGGAUUUUCGCGGUCAAUAACCGAUUGUGGUAUCGUUUGAACCGCGAUACGCGUUCGCCAGACUUGGUUUAUUCCUUGAAACGACGAUUGUGAAAGUUGUUGCGAUAAGUAGCGAGAGUGGUUGGAAACGAAGAACAAAAUAGUUUGCACGAUAUUACGCGAAAGCGGUGAUAAUUUAAACAGCUCUCACUGUCUGCGAAUGCAUAGCUUGUAACGAAAUGAAUAUAUUGAAUAACGUUAAUAUAAUAUU